rnacentral:snRNA from 1 species
UAGCUCACUUUGGCAGCUCAGAAACUAACACUGGGACAAUAUAGAGAAAAUUAGCAUGGUCCUUGUGCAAGGAUGACACACAAAUUCAUAAAGUGUUCCAUAGUAAU